UGCCUCCUGGUGAUUACGACAGGCUGUAUUUUUACACUGGCUAUAUAGAAAGAGGAGGCAGAACAAACCUGCCCCUAUAUACCCCAGCCCAGGCCACUGUGCUUGGUCUGUAUUGUGAAUAGGGAGACAAGG
ensembl:snoRNA